GGUGAAAGAGAGAGCGACGCCUGGAUACGUUAACUUCAGGCUCCUGAAACUGAAGAAAAACCGCAGCAUCAGUCGUUUCAGAAAAUCCACAAAACCGACAUUUGACAACGCCCUCUAGCGGCUUAAGGGAGCAAAGGAGGAAGUAGUGUGAUGUUGUUAUCGACCUCACGCGGCCCGCUCACUUCUUCGUUUUGUUCCACUUCCUGUUUUGCCUCGUAGCUUCCUGCUGCUUUUAGUAAACACCAGUAAAAAAAGUCUCGUCCUGCUCCGUUCACACAGCCCGAGAUACAUUUCUCCCACCUGGAAACACUCGUCCACGUUUCAGAGGAGGUCAUGUGACCUGACUUCGCCACAUCCUCCGCAGACGUUCUGUGUUUAUUAGCUUACAGCUAGCUCAGCUAGCUUACUGUGUGUUGCAGCAGCAGCUUCUCAGGAGAUGAUGCAGGUCGUUACAGUUUGUUUUAUUCGCUUUGGUACUAUUUUCACAAGUAUGUGGUAAAACCUCACAACUGUUAGUACAAAACUCAUCAAAAAGUCUGUCUUUUCAAACAUGUAGUCACAUGUUCGCUUUUUCACCACACCUAAUCAGUGUGUCAUCAAAGAAAUGCCUUUCAUAUGAAGUAAUCGUCUUUCACAGUGCAGUGCUCACGAUACUUUCGAUAUGCUUCUCAUCUAAUUUGCGUGAAUACAUUUGACCAACACUUAAUCCAACGGAUCUUAAUGGUUAAUCACUGAACCGUUUGGUAAACCUAUAUAUUUUCAUCUCAGCAAUAAACAGUAUAUCGAUUUUGAGAACUACAGAAAUAAAACGUGUUUUUGUACGAACAUAUAAAUUAACCACGCAUGAUGAACACUCGUUAUUGCUAAUUGAUUUCAGAUAGGGGUAACCACAGUUGGUCAUUAGAUAUAAAAGUGGGGGUGUAAACACUGGCAAUCUCUUUCAACAUGGAGCAGGAUAGACGGCGAGGAAUAAGAAGGGCUCGUGGACAAGGGAUCCGUCAGAGAGGUGGGCAUGGGGCCCAUCAAAGGGUUGGUCACGAGAGAGGGGGAGGCAGAACUGGUGUCUCUAAUGAAGUCCGGGCCAUCGUCGUUGAUCAUGUGGUGCACCGAGGCCGAGUAUUUGAUCCAAAUCAUCCGAACUGUUCGCCAUGAAAAAAAAGUGUGGAGGAUGUAUACUACUACAUUCACAGUAAAUGAAUUGACAGAAAACCCCGUAGUGGCGGCCUCAGCCGUGUGCUGACCGACCAGCAAGAGUUGGCAGUGGUGGAAAUGGUGAGGGCCAGGAAUGAUAUAUGGCUGUCAGAAAUAAAGCAGCCAACUGAGGAGAACAAUGGCACCUUUGCCAAUGUGGCAUCCAUCAGCCUACCAACAGUAGCCCGCCUUUUAAAGAGGCACCAGGUAUCAACGAAACACAUUUACCUGGUGCCUUCUGAGAGAAACAAUGACCGGGUGAAACUAAGGACUGAGUAUGUUCAGGUACAGCACUAUAUAUUGUAUUACUGUUACUAUUUAACGCAUCACUUACGUCAUAUGUAUAUUGGAACAACACUGUAAAAAGAACUAACCAAAAUAUAUAUUUUAGAGCGUUAUGGUGCUUGACGCUGAUGUGAACCAUCACAAGUACAUUUUUGUUGAUGAAGCGGGCUUUAACCUUGCCAAAACUCGUCGCCGUGGAGACGGAACGUCAUCGGCCAAUGGGCCGCCGUCCAAGCGCCUGGACAACGUGGAGGAAACACCUCCAUGUGCGCAGCUAUCUCUGAAGAUGGUGUCGUGGGACGUAGGCCAUUACUUGGCUCCUACAAUGCUGCACAUCUUAUCGAGUUUCUCAAUGAAAUUGAGCCGGCCUGUCAAGGUGAAGGGGUCACCUGUGUAAAUGUGUGUGGGACAAUGUCAGCUUUCACCACGCAGAGGUAGUUCAAGCAUGGUUUCAGGCCCAUCCUCGAUUCAUGACUCUCUACCUGCCUCCAUACUCUCCUUUCCUCAACCCUACUGAGGGAUGUUUUUCAGCAUGGAGGUGGAAGGUCUGUGAUCGCCAAACCCUUGAGCGCGCCACCCUCCUUCAGGCCACGGACGAUGCAUGUUAUGACAUCAGCGUUGACCAAUGUCAUGCAUGGAUUCGUCACGCCAAAAGGUUUUUGCCAAGGUGCUCGAACAAUGAUAACAUUCAUUGUGCUCAAGACAGGCUUGAUCCAAAUGAAUGUAAUGUGUGCACUAAAUGUUGUGUUUUGUUCUCAUUAUGUUACAUAAUAGAAAGUAUACCUAUGUUACAAUUAUAUCUGAAAAAUAAAAACUAAUUUGCCCAAAUGA